rnacentral:rRNA from 1 species
GUGGGGAAUAUUGGACAAUGGGCGAAAGCCUGAUCCAGCCAUGCCGCGUGUGUGAAGAAGGUCUUCGGAUUGUAAAGCACUUUAAGUUGGGAGGAAGGGCAGUAAGUUAAUACCUUGCUGUUUUGACGUUACCGACAGAAUAAGCACCGGCUAACUUCGUGCCAGCAGCCGCGGUAAUACGAAGGGUGCAAGCGUUAAUCGGAAUUACUGGGCGUAAAGCGCGCGUAGGUGGUUUUGUAAGUUGGAGGUGAAAUCCCCGGGCUCAACCUGGGAACUGACUCCAAAACUGCAUGACUAGAGUACGGUAGAGGGUAGUGGAAUUUCCUGUGUAGCGGUGAAAUGCGUAGAUAUAGGAAGGAACACCAGUGGCGAAGGCGACUACCUGGACUGAUACUGACACUGAGGUGCGAAAGCGUGGGGAGCAAACAGGAUUAGAUACCCGGGUAGUCC